rnacentral:ncRNA from 1 species
AACCCGAAAAGGCAACCUGCCAAUUAGUGUGGCGGGACGCAAAGCUACGGAUUCGCGACGCGAAUUAUCGCUAAUCUUAGUCGCGAAUAUUCGCGUCUAGAAGAGCCGGGCUGCCGAG